rnacentral:lncRNA from 1 species
CCAGUUGGUCACGACUGACACCCCUCCUCUUAGGUCCAGGUCACCACUUCGAGUCGUGGCUCCACGCAUGGAUCGAUCCUUAUUGGUCACGGCUGGCACUCCUCUUGGGUCCAAGCCACCACUACGAGUCACGGCCCAACGCGCGGCUCACAGCUGGCACCCCUCUCGGGUCCAGGCCACCACUACUGGCAUACAAGCCACCACUACGAGUCACGGCCCAACGUGCGGCUCCCCACACGUGGAUCGAUCCUUGUUGAUCAUAAGAUGGCACCCCUCUUGGGUUUAGGUGUUCUCGGGUUCAGGCCACCACUACUGGCAUACAAGCCACCACUAUGAGUCACGGCCCAAUGUGCGGCUCCCCACACGUGGAUCGAUCCUCGUUGAUCAUAAGGUGGCACCCCUCUUGGGUUUAGGCCACCACUUCGAGUCACGGCCCAACGCGUGAGACUCUCAAUAAAAGUACCAAUGUUAUAAAGCAAACAGAAGAGUCCAACCCAAAAGACUAGAUUAAUACGUGGGAAAAUCCAUUUGACUUAUAAAUCCCCUUAGCAUUUCUCUAUUUUUUCAAUGUGGGACAAUUGGUUCAUAACAAACCUCCCUCCCCCUUUAUAGCCCCACAUUAAUUUUGCCAAAUCUAACUUAGUAUAUACUUGACGAAAUGAAAAGUGUUAACAUUUGCCAAAUUUAAAUGGUCAAAGUUAUUCAAUAACAUUCGAGAGACUAUUUUAAACUACUCUCAAACAUUAAGUAAUCAUUUUGAUCAUUUUCUUGCUUACCAACACCGAAUCUUUUGAAAAAGAAUUGAAG